ACAUUCUGUUCCAAACUGCUAUUGCUAGCAAAAGUUAUGCUGGGCUUCUCUACAUUGCCUAGAAUUCCUGGACUCAUUUCAAAUAGAAGGCUAUCUGUCUUCAUGAAGCAGAGAUACUUCUGUAACCUACGGAUGUGAGAGCUGGACCGUAGGGAAGGCUGAGCGAAGGAAGAUAGAUGCUUUUGAGCUGUGGUGCUGGAGGAAAGUGCUGAGAGUGCCUUGGACUGCGAGAAGAUCCAACCAGUCCAUCCUCCAGGAAAUAAAGCCCGACUGCUCACUGGAGGGACGGAUACUAGAGACAAA